rnacentral:rRNA from 1 species
AUACGUAGGUGGCGAGCGUUGUCCGGAAUUACUGGGUGUAAAGGGCGUGUAGACGGGUAUGCAAGUCAGAUGUGAAAUUCCAGGGCUCAACCCUGGCGCUGCAUCUGAAACUGUAUAUCUUGAGUGCUGGAGAGGAAAGCGGAAUUCCUAGUGUAGCGGUGAAAUGCGUAGAUAUGUGGAGGAACACCAGUGGCGAAGGCGACUUUCUGGACUGUAACUGACGCUGAGGCGCGAAAGCGUGGGGAGC